UUUCUCUGGUCACUUCCCCACUGCCCCCUCACGUUUCUCCCCCAUUCCCCAUUCUCCCAUGGUCGCCAGCUCUCCCUGGCCAGGCCGCCACUCCCCUUCGUCCCCACUGCCGGCGCGAGGUUCGCAGCCCCUACUCUUCCUCCUCUUCAUGUUGAAUCCGGUCGCGGAAGUGGCCGAGGAGGUCCUUGAGCUCGGCAUGCUCUCGCCAUCGGAGGUGGAUGCGGAAGCGCGGGACUUGCACGCCCCUGCUCUACCCUGCUCCCUCUUCGAAUCCGGUCGCCGAAGUGCUCGAGGAGGCGCCCAGCGGCGCUGGUUGGAAGACGGCCGCCAACAUCCUCUUCAUGGUGACCCCCAAGCACAAGGAGUUCGGAGGAUGGUGAAGGCGGUGCAGCGAGCCGACGGCAUGUCCACAGUGAGGUGGUGAUGGAGGAACAACCACGCACUUGACGGAUUGGUGCAGGGCGGGGAGGACGCCGGCCAGGAAGAUAACGCUGCUGCCGGGCGGCGAGGUCGUCGUCCAGGAAGGCGACGGUGCUUCCGUGUGGCGAGGAGAUCAGCCUGGGGGUCUAUUCUUUUUUUAUGGGAUAUUUGUUUUUUUGUGUGGCCUGCGUGCUGCGUGAUAGUAGGGGAUGCGUGAUUGUAGGGGUUCUGGUUCAGCGCGGGUGGAGUCUGUUUUCCUCUCCGGUGGAGUAUGGUCAGUCAACUUAAAUUGUUAAGUGCACAUCACAGACAUUCGAGAUUAAGGCUAGCCGUUGGAUUGAGAUUAGUGGGCCUAAUCAUGCGAUGGUAGUGAGUCUGUGUAUGUUUUGUGGGGUGCAUUUAGUAAAGUUUAUGUUUGCUUUUU